rnacentral:rRNA from 1 species
UACGUAGGGGGCAAGCGUUGUCCGGAAUCAUUGGGCGUAAAGAGCGUGUAGGCGGCCAGAUAAGUCCGCUGUGAAAUCUCGAGGCUCAACCUCGAGACGUCGGCGGAAACCAUCUGGCUAGAGUCCGGAAGAGGAGAGUGGAAUUCCUGGUGUAGCGGUGAAAUGCGCAGAUAUCAGGAUGAACACCCGUGGCGAAGGCGGCUCUCUGGGACGGUACUGACGCUGAGACGCGAAAGCGUGGGGAGCGAACAGG